AUCUUCUGUUCGUUCUGUGUGCUUCCAUUUUUUUUUUUUCCUUGAUUAUUUCUGACAGUCUUUUCUU
rnacentral:ribozyme from 1 species